rfam:Hordeum vulgare subsp. vulgare, WGS project CAJW01000000 data, contig: morex_contig_594769
AUAAUACUCCCUCCGUCCCAAAAUUCUUGUCUUAGAUUUCUCUAAAUAUGGAUGUAUCUAGAUACGUUUUAGUGUUAGAUACAUCCGUAUCUAGAUAAAUCUUAGACAAGAAUUUUGAGACGGAGGUAGUAUGCA